rnacentral:lncRNA from 1 species
GUUAUCUGCUCCUUGCAGUAGGGCUUGAGUGAGUCACUGCCUUUUCAGGGAUCAUGUCUCAAGAUCAGUCUGAAGUGAGUGACCCUAUGCACCUGAAGAGCUUUACUGCUCCUCACAGCACAAACAGUAACACUGUAUGGAGGACGGAGACUCAACAAGACAAUGUUGUAGGGAUUGCGUGCUUCUUGGAAAGGGGAAAUUCCCGACGAUCUUAUAGUCUAUGUGGAGCAUAUAAAGGCAAAGCACACUUCCUCUGUCACAAACACAUUCAACCGAACACUCUCACAAGAGAAACAACGAUUUAACCAACUCUAUAACUCCAGAGAGGGAACUGAACUAAACGACUGGUAUGUGGCGUACUAUUUACUUUCACCUGGAUCUUGAUUGAAAGUCAGUUUUUAAAGAUUGUUAUUUUCUCACUGUUUAGUUUUAUGCUUUAUUUUAGAACGAUGGAAUGCCAUGAACACUACAUUUUGCCUUCGGAGUAAGUAUCGCUUGUUUUUAUAUAUAUAUAUAUAUAUAUAUAUUAUAUAAAUCAA